rnacentral:lncRNA from 1 species
CCUUGUCAACAGCAAUUGGUUUCCCAACAGCAGACGCAAUUGACAGCAGAGACCUUUUCACAGAUAAGUUUGGUGGCAGACCUGGCAUAGAGAUCCAUACAACUGCCAUCGAUGUCUCCUCUUUUUGAUUAAAUCCAAAAGUCCAUGGAAAUGUUCGGAAGAAAUAUUCUUCGCCUUUGGAUUGAAGAUAACCUGUCGGCUUACCAAGGAAGUGAGCAUAGUCAUCGAACAUAUCAAACCUGACUAGAAUGUGCCUAUAUUCCAACUGUCUAACAUUACAACAACCUUUAACAUCAAAUUGCAACAAAAAAAUUCAUCGCACUUCUGAUAAAUCAGGUUUGCCAUUAGAAAAUUUUAUCACAACUCCUUGGUGCAAACCUUCUU